rnacentral:rRNA from 1 species
GAUGAACGCUGGCGGCGUGCCUAAUACAUGCAAGUCGAGCGAACGGACGAGAAGCUUGCUUCUCUGAUGUUAGCGGCGGACGGGUGAUUAACACGUGGAUAACCUACCUAUAAGACUGGGAUAACUUCGGGAAACCGUAGCUAAUACCGGAUAAUAUUUUGAACCGCAUGGUUCAAAAGUGAAAGACGGUCUUGCUGUCACUUAUAGAUGGAUCCGCGCUGCAUUAGCUAGUUGGUAAGGUAACGGCUUACCAAGGCAACGAUGCAUAGCCGACCUGAGAGGGUGAUCGGCCACACUGGAACUGAGAAACGGCCCAGACUCCGACAGGAGGCAGCAGUAGGGAAUCUUCCGCAAUGGGCGAAAGCCUGACGGAGCAACGCCGCGUGAGUGAUGAAGGUCUUCGGAUCGUAAAACUCUGUUAUUAGGGAAGAACAUAUGUGUAAGUAACUGUGCACAUCUUGACGGUACCUAAUCAGAAAGCCACGGCUAACUACGUG